CAUAUAAGGCCUCGACUAACUGGCCUUCGUCCCUUUCCUCACCGACCACUCGCCACUCACUGACUGCAGCUGACAGGCAGGUGACAGCUGGUGUACUUGAAGGCCAAUGGAGAAGUGAGAGAACCUUGAGCAAGACUUAACACCCAGCAUGUUACUUCAGCCUCAUCAGUUAAGCUGGCCAGAAGUAACAUCAUACUGAACCUAAGGAGAAAUAACUUAAAAUGCCAGAACAGGUGACAGCUGACGUACGUGAAUGCCAAUGUAGAGGAAGUGACCGACACCUUGAGCAAGAUGUAACACCCAUCAUGUUACUUCAGCCUUCUUAGGUGGUUGGUGUACAAGAUAGAUGGAUCAGACACAACAAGGUG